rnacentral:ncRNA from 2 species
GAGAUCUACUAGGGGUGCCCAUAUACCGGGCUGAGAGAAAAUUGGCAAAUUUUUAACCCUUUGGACCUGAUCUGGGUAAUACCAGCGUAGGAAAGUAGUCGAGUGAUUUC